UGAAGCGGCAACAGCUCAAAUUUGAAAGCUAGCCUUCGGGUUCGCAUUGUAAUUUGUAGAGGAUGAUUUGGGGAAGCCGCCUGUCUAAGUUCCUUGGAACAGGACGUCAUAGAGGGUGAGAAUCCCGUAUGUGACAGGAAAUGGCACCCUAUGUAAAUCUCCUUCGACGAGUCGAGUUGUUUGGGAAUGCAGCUCUAAAUGGGAGGUAAAUUUCUUCUAAAGCUAAAUAUUGGCGAGAGACCGAUAGCGCACAAGUAGAGUGAUCGAAAGAUGAAAAGCACUUUGGAAAGAGAGUUAAAAAGCACGUGAAAUUGUUGAAAGGGAAGCGCUUGCAAUCAGACUUGUUUAAACUGUUCGGCCGGUCUUCUGACCGGUUUACUCAGUUUGGACAGGCCAGCAUCAGUUUCGGCGGCCGGAUAAAGGCUCUGGGAAUGUGGCCUCCACUUCGGUGGAGGUGUUAUAGCCCAGGGUGUAAUACGGCCAGCCGGGACUGAGGUCCGCGCUUCGGCUAGGAUGCUGGCGUAAUGGUUGUAAGCGACCCGUCUUGAAACACG
rnacentral:rRNA from 1 species